AUGAUACCCCAAAUUAUUAUUUUCGGAUAUAAAGACGACGCUGUAUCAUCAAAAUACAUAUUGCAACUUUCAAAACAUGCGGGAAGAAAAUUACAGAGUGAGGCGUAACAAUUUCCAACUUUGUUCGUCAUUUGAAGCUGCACGAGAACGGUAUACAGAGGAAGAGGCAUACAAAGGCCUCUACAUUAUGGGUAAGGAAACCUGUUUGAUCACCAUGCACUGCAAAAUCAUUCUGGCUAUGGAUACGGAGAGCUUCAACACAUUAACAUCAACACGCCAGAGGAUAUACCCAUUGGACUUUGCUGGGCUAUGCUGGGAGUCUACCUCAUAUUUGGAUUUUUUUUAUUCUGCUUUGUCACUAAAAUCUUUUCUUUUUUUUCUAAAAUAUUGUGUUAUUG
ensembl:lncRNA